UUUUAAAUUGAGAGUUUGAUCCUGGCUCAGGAUGAACGCUGGUGGCGUGCCUAAUACAUGCAAGUCGUACGCUAGCCGCUGAAUUGAUCCUUCGGGUGAAGUGAGGCAAUGACUAGAGUGGCGAACUGGUGAGUAACACGUAAGAAACCUGCCCUUUAGUGGGGGAUAACAUUUGGAAACAGAUGCUAAUACCGCGUAACAACAAAUCACACAUGUGAUCUGUUUGAAAGGUCCUUUUGGAUCGCUAGAGGAUGGUCUUGCGGCGUAUUAGCUUGUUGGUAGGGUAGAAGCCUACCAAGGCAAUGAUGCGUAGCCGAGUUGAGAGACUGGCCGGCCACAUUGGGACUGAGACACUGCCCAAACUCCUACGGGAGGCUGCAGUAGGGAAUUUUCCGCAAUGCACGAAAGUGUGACGGAGCGACGCCGCGUGUGUGAUGAAGGCUUUCGGGUCGUAAAGCACUGUUGUAAGGGAAGAAUAACUGAAUUCAGAGAAAGUUUUCAGCUUGACGGUACCUUACCAGAAAGGGAUGGCUAAAUACGUGCCAGCAGCCGCGGUAAUACGUAUGUCCCGAGCGUUAUCCGGAUUUAUUGGGCGUAAAGCGAGCGCAGACGGUUUAUUAAGUCUGAUGUGAAAUCCCGAGGCCCAACCUCGGAACUGCAUUGGAAACUGAUUUACUUGAGUGCGAUAGAGGCAAGUGGAACUCCAUGUGUAGCGGUGAAAUGCGUAGAUAUGUGGAAGAACACCAGUGGCGAAAGCGGCUUGCUAGAUCGUAACUGACGUUGAGGCUCGAAAGUAUGGGUAGCAAACGGGAUUAGAUACCCCGGUAGUCCAUACCGUAAACGAUGGGUGCUAGUUGUUAAGAGGUUUCCGCCUCCUAGUGACGUAGCAAACGCAUUAAGCACCCCGCCUGAGGAGUACGGCCGCAAGGCUAAAACUUAAAGGAAUUGACGGGGACCCGCACAAGCGGUGGAGCAUGUGGUUUAAUUCGAAGAUACGCGAAAAACCUUACCAGGUCUUGACAUACCAAUGAUCGCUUUUGUAAUGAAAGCUUUUCUUCGGAACAUUGGAUACAGGUGGUGCAUGGUCGUCGUCAGCUCGUGUCGUGAGAUGUUGGGUUAAGUCCCGCAACGAGCGCAACCCUUGUUAUUAGUUGCCAGCAUUUAGUUGGGCACUCUAAUG
rnacentral:rRNA from 1 species